rnacentral:rRNA from 1 species
GCGUGGGGAGCGAAAAGGAUUAGAUACCCUUGUAGUCCACGCCCUAAACGAUGAAUGCUAGAUAUUGGGAGUAUCGACCCUCCCAGUGUCGUUUAAAAUAGUUAACACAUUAAGCAUUCCGCCUGGGGAGUACGGUCGCAAGACUAAAACUCAAAGGAAUAGACGGGGACCCGCACAAGCAGAGGAGCAUGUGGUUUAAUUCGAUGGUAAGCGAGAAACCUCACCUAGGUUUGAAAUGUAGCUGCAAGCCGAAAGAAACUUUGGCCGCCUUCGAGGGUGCUACACAGGUGCUGCAUGGUUGCCGUCAGCUCGUGUCGUGAGAUGUACCGUUAAGUCGGGUAACGAGCGCAACCCCCGUCCCAUGUUGUUUUUUCAUGGGAGACCGCCUCGGAUAACGGGGAGGAAGGUGGGGAUGACGUCAAAUCAGCAUGGCUCUUACACCUAGGGCUACACACGUGCUACAAUGGCCAUGACAAUGGGCUGCCAAGUCGCAAGACGGAGCUAAUCCCACCAAACAUGGCCCCAGUUCGGAUUGGGGGCUGCAAUUCGCCCCCAUGAAGCCGGAUUUGCUAGUAAACGCGUAUCAGCAUCGGCGCGUUGAAUACGUUCUCGGGUCUUGUACUCACCGCCCGUCACAUCAAGAGAGUUGUAUAUGCCCGAAGGCCCCGAUGAGGGGACGAAGGUAGAGACAGCGAUAGGGAUGAAGUCGUAACAAGGCAUCCGUAGCGGAAGCUGUGGAUG